UCGUCGGGUAGCAUGCUAUUCGGUGACACACCUAACGGAUUAAGCAUUCCGCCUGGGGAGUACGGUCGCAAGAUUAAAACUCAAAGAAAUUGACGGGGGCCCGCACAAGCGGUGGAGCAUGUGGUUUAAUUUGAAGCAACGCGCAGAACCUUACCAACCCUUGACAUCCUAGGACCGUUCCAGAGAUGGAUCUUUCACUUCGGUGACCUAGUGACAGGUGCUGCAUGGCUGUCGUCAGCUCGUGUCGUGAGAUGUUCGGUUAAGUCCGGCAACGAGCGCAACCCACAUCCUUAGUUGCCAGCAGUUCGGCUGGGCACUCUAGGGAAACUGCCCGUGAUAAGCGGGAGGAAGGUGUGGAUGACGUCAAGUCCUCAUGGCCCUUACGGGUUGGGGUACACACGUGCUACAAUGGCAGUGACAAUGGGUUAAUCCCAAAAAACUGUCUCAGUUCGGAUUGGGGUUUGCAACUCGACCCCAUGAAGUCGGAAUCGCUAGUAAUCGCGUAACAGCAUGACGCGGUGAAUACGUUCCCGGGCCUUGUACACACCGCCCGUCACACCAUGGGAGUUGGUUCUACCCGACGAGCGCUAACCUUUUGGAGGCAGCGGACCACGGUAGGAUCAGCGACUGGGGUGAAGUCGUAACAAGGUAGCCGUAGGGGAACCUGCGGCUGGAUCACCUCCUU
rnacentral:rRNA from 1 species